CCGCCUUACACAGAGCCAUGAGAUCCCAGAUCCUGCUGCUCCUGGCCCUGCUGACCCUAGGCCUGGCUGCACAACACCAAGACAAAGUGCCCUGUAAGAUGGUAAAAAGCCUCACCCAGAUGACCCCCGUCCCUCAUACCAUGGAGUCAUGAGCUGUCUGGGAAGAAUGGACGUGCUGGGACUAACUCAAGACCUUGUUUUGCUGUCUUCAUCAUCUUACCUGUGCUUGGCCCACAGUCUGGCUCAUGAUGUGGGCUCAGUAAUGUGCGAGAAAGUGAAAAUGCCACUCUCUCCACCCCAUUUUACAGAGGAGAACACCAAGGCCCAGAGGAAGUUAAGGGAGAGUCAAUGGGCAGAGCCAGGGCUAGGCCCUGGUGGUGUGUGGAGCACCCAGGCAGACCCAGUCCUGGUUGGGAUCACAACCACGGGUGCUACUUCACAUAACACUCUUCCUUAGGCCUGGAGGCCAAGGUGUGGGUCCCCACGCCUGAUCUUUGAAAACACUACACAAUGCUGCUGUCACUUCCCAGGACCCAGGCCGCAGCCCAGGCCUCGGGACCAACUCU
rnacentral:sRNA from 1 species